rnacentral:tRNA from 1 species
AAGGAUUUAAGUUAAGCGGCAAACUAUCAACCUUCAAAGCUGAAAAUAGACUCUAUCUAAGCCUUA